UAAAACUCAUUAUAGAGCCAAGAAAACUCUGGUGGGUGACCCAAAAGAAGAAAGCAAGGUCCUAAGAACAGAAUGAUAAGAAAGGUAAAGAAGAGCUUCAAUAGGAGAUGCUGAGAGGACAGAACAACAGGAGGCUCUCUCCCUGCGAAGUGGAAAAUGAAAAAGUAAAAACAAGGAGCUCCCCCUUCCCAGAGAGGACUAUAGUUUACAUUUGGUGCCUUCCCCCCCCCAUGCAAUAUGCAUAUAGUUUAUAAAAUUGGGGUCACUGAGUAUAUUCGGGGUUUUUAAAUGCUCAUUUCUGCCCCGACGGUAUCCCAGGUAUUUUCCCAUAGCGAUUCCCAUACACUUUACAUGGGUGAGUUGUGUGUGAUGUAAAUUAUAUCGUAAUAAAAUUGUAAUUUAAAAAAAAUCCUUUAGAGAAAACCUGAAUCUCCAUCCCUGUAAGAAGCUGUAGGACAAAAGCAGAAACACCGUGCACUCAAGAGAAGACGGCUGAGCUGGUCACAAGCGGGAGUGAAAAUAAGAGAGUCUUAGCUCAGGGUGAGUGCCGUGGUCAGGAUGGGGAGACCACCUCCCGCUCCACCGCUACACUUGGAAGGGAAGAGCCCCCCAGGACAGCAGGAGCCUGCUACCUCCUGUGAGGACAGAAAGCAAGCUGGCGUGGCCACGCUGUGGGCUGAGGAAGAGCGAGCUGCGCUCUGAAGAUGCUACAAGAGCUCACGGCUACUUCAGAAUACCCGAGAGUCAACUACCUGCUAAGUGUCCCCCUUGUCAUGAAAAAGACCACUCGAGAACCUCCAUGAGGACCCAGGGCAGACAAGGAACAGGAAACAGGAAGAGGACAGUUCCUCAGCAGCAGCAGCAGGAGGGCUCUGGAACUCAGGGUCUCUGACUCAAGUCCUCCCUCCACCCAGACCCUAGAUCUUCCAAACAGCAAGGGACAGUGAGCCCCAGACACCACCCCAGAUACUGGACAAGAACCUCAGAGCAGAAGGCAAGUAAGAAAGGGGCC